GCCGCUGGCAUACAUUGCCUCUCACAUGAAGACGAGAAGUGCUAGAUGCUGCAGGUACAAGAUCGCCAUAAGCACACAACGUCACUCGUGGGGGCUAACUUAUCAGACCCUCGAGAAGAUCUCGACGACUCCGAGGUGGGACUAACUUACAAGACUCCUACAGAGCCUGAGUUUUUCGAGAAGCAGAGGGAGACUCUUAGGAAACUUCUGGAAGGAUAAUUAAUUAGACCCUCAAAAAGCCAUCGAGUGCAAGAUGUCGCAGACCCAAGCUCACCACUGGCACACAUUGCCUCUCACGCGAAGACGAAAAAUACUAGAUGCUGCAAGCAUAAGAUCGCUGCAAGCACAAAAUGCCACUCGUGAGAGCUAACUUAUUAGACCCUCAAGAAGACCUCAACGACUCCGAGGCGGAAUUAACUUACAAGACCCCUGCAGAGCCCAAGUCAUUCGAGAAGUGAAGAGAGACCCUUAGGGAACCCCUGGAGGGAUAACUAAUCAGACCUCAAAAUGUCACUGAAGAACCUUAAAUGCCAUAGGCACAAAAUCGCCGCCGGCACACACUGCCUC
rnacentral:lncRNA from 1 species